rnacentral:rRNA from 1 species
UAACGAUACGGGACUCAUCCGAGGCCCCGUAAUCGGAAUGAGUACACUUUAAAUCCUUUAACGAGGAUCCAUUGGAGGGCAAGUCUGGUGCCAGCACCCGCGGUAAUUCCAGCUCCAAUAGCGUAUAUUAAAGUUGUUGCGGUUAAAAAGCUCGUAGUUGAAUCUGUGUGCCACGCUGUCGGUUCAUCGCUCGCGAUGUUUAACUGACAUGAUUGUGGGACGUCCUACCGGUGGAUUUAGCCUCUUUCUCUUCGGAGGGGAGGCGGUCCAGCUAAUAUCCCAUCGCGGUGCUUUUCAUCGAGUGUCGAGGUGGGCCGGUACGUUUACUUUGAACAAAUUAGAGUGCUCAAAGCAGGCCAUCCUCGCCUGAAUACUGUGUGCAUGGAAUAAUGGAAUAGGACCUCGGUUCUAUUUUGUUGGUUUUCGGAACCCCGAGGUAAUGAUUAAUAGGGACAGAUGGGGGCAUUCGUAUUGCGACGUUAGAGGUGAAAUUCUUGGAUCGUCGCAAGACGGACAGAAGCGAAAGCAUUUGCCAAAAAUGUUUUCAUUAAUCAAGAACGAAAGUUAGAGGUUCGAAGGCGAUCAGAUACCGCCCUAGUUCUAACCAUAAACGAUGCCAGCUAGCGAUCCGCCGAAGUUCCUUUGAUGACUCGGCGGGCAGCUUCCGGGAAACCAAAGCUUUUGGGUUCCGGGGGAAGUAUGGUUGCAAAGCUGAAACUUAAAGGAAUUGACGGAAGGGCACCACCAGGAG